rnacentral:rRNA from 2 species
UGGGGAAUAUUGCACAAUGGGCGCAAGCCUGAUGCAGCGACGCCGCGUGAGGGAUGACGGCCUUCGGGUUGUAAACCUCUUUCAGUAGGGACGAAGCGCAAGUGACGGUACCUAUAGAAGAAGCACCGGCCAACUACGUGCCAGCAGCCGCGGUAAUACGUAGGGUGCGAGCGUUGUCCGGAAUUACUGGGCGUAAAGAGCUCGUAGGUGGUUUGUCGCGUUGUUCGUGAAAACUCACAGCUCAACUGUGGGCGUGCGGGCGAUACGGGCAGACUGGAGUACUGCAGGGGAGACUGGAAUUCCUGGUGUAGCGGUGGAAUGCGCAGAUAUCAGGAGGAACACCGGUGGCGAAGGCGGGUCUCUGGGCAGUAACUGACGCUGAGGAGCGAAAGCGUGGGGAGCGAACA